UACAGAGGUCCCGAGCGUUGUUCGGAUUUAUUGGGCGUAAAGGGUGCGUAGGCGGCGGAGUAAGUUGGGUGUGAAAUCCCGGGGCUUAACCUCGGAAUUGCAUUCAAUACUGCUUCGCUUGAGUACUGGAGAGGAGGCUGGAAUUUACGGUGUAGCAGUGAAAUGCGUAGAUAUCAGGAGGAACACCGGUGGCGAAGGCGGAUCUCUGGGCCGAUACUGACGCUGAGGAGCGAAAGCGUGGGGAGCGAACAGG
rnacentral:rRNA from 1 species